rnacentral:rRNA from 1 species
AUUGAACGCUGGCGGCAGGCUUAACACAUGCAAGUCGAGCGGGGUGAUGGUGCUUGCACUAUCACUUAGCGGCGGACGGGUGAGUAAUGCUUAGGAAUCUGCCUAUUAGUGGGGGACGACAUCUCGAAAGGGAUGCUAAUACCGCAUACGUCCUACGGGAGAAAGCAGGGGAUCACUUGUGACCUUGCGCUAAUAGAUGAGCCUAAGUCGGAUUAGCUAGUUGGUGGGGUAAAGGCCUACCAAGGCGAAGAUCUGUAGCGGGUCGGAGAGGAUGAUCCGCCACACUGGGACUGAGACACGGCCCAGACUCCUACGGGAGGCAGCAGUGGGGAAUAUUGGACAAUGGGGGGAACCCUGAUCCAGCCAUGCCGCGUGUGUGAAGAAGGCCUUAUGGUUGUAAAGCACUUUAAGCGAGGAGGAGGCUCUUUUGGUUAAUACCCAAGAUGAGUGGACGUUACUCGCAGAAUAAGCACCGGCUAACUCUGUGCCAGCCGCCGCAGUAA